UUUAUGUAUCCAAAUCAAGCUUCUUACAAAGUGAUUCAUUCUGGUUUGAUUGGAACGACGAAGAAGUUGUCCUAUUCCCAAACUGGGAAACUGGAAUCACCUGAUUUGAAAGUGGGAUAACUUCUUCAUCCCAACUCCUAUGAGAUUUAUUCAACUUCCUGGUGUUUCUCCAACACUUUAUUGUUGAAAUGAAGAAGGGAAUGACCAGAAGAAGAAUCUGGUUCAUGAUCCAAGUUUGAUAUUGUAGAGGAAGUAAUCCAGAUACUUCAAGAUGAGACUAGUUCAUACAGACUUGUGAACCAAGUUAUGGUUAGAGUGGAGAAGGAAGAAGCAUGGCUGUGUGUGAUCCAUUGAUCUUAGAAAUAAAGAAGACAAAGAGAAGAAGAGAUACUUGAAAAGAUUCAGGUCUGGAAAACCUUGCUACACAAGGCAGUCCGUACAGUCUUGGCUUCCAAGUUACCUAGAGUGACUUGGAUGGUAAGGCAGGUGAGGAACUCGUCCAGUUUGAUCUUCUGAAGCAGAUUUGAAGUUAAAAUGGAGCAUCAGACCGUUGGAGAGAGCUGAGACAAGUUGGGAAUUAAAUAGAGUAAAAGUCACAUGUGCAUAAGAGGAUGAACAUGUUGUCACUUUCACCCAACCAGACUGUGCCCAUAUCUCUCUCCUGUCACUCUCUACUCCCUCUGGUCGAGAUUCACCUUGGCUGUACCUUCCUGGCUUCAUCAGAAAACCCUACAAUAUUAUUUGUUUAGUAAAACCCUGUUUUAGCAUUUGUUUAAUAUGUGUGCUUGUCUAUUUAAGACAAUGCUGUAUCUGAUUGUAAAUUAAGGAGAGUAAAACUCUUUCUUCACAUACUCUGGUUACUAAACUCUCAGAUUCUUCUAUUCUCUCUAUUCUCUUGUCUCUCACGACCUCCAUUACUCCCUUAUACUCUAGCAUACUCAGAAACUCUCCCAAACACUUUAUACUCUCUCCACUGUCUCAUUACUUUCAAUUGCUCAUCAAUCACUCUCUGGUUUCAUACUGAACCAGAAGCUUAUUCUCAUCAUAUUCCUUUUAUUUCAUCUCAAUUCUUUCAUGGUAUCAGAACCAUAAGCUCUUGAGAACCUAUAUUGCUUCCGCAAAUCAUCCCUGUCCAAAAUCUCUCUUUAAAAAUCUGUUCAAACCUGUUCGUUACAUCCUUUUAUCCUCUGGUCCAAAGGUUUUCCAGGAGGGAAAAACAUCACCAGAACUCAAGAUAAAGGAGUAUCUCAGUCUCUGGAACUCAAGAAAGUCUUAGCUCAGUUCAGCAAGCUUCAUCAAAGUCCAGUCUUUCAAAUCCUGUCCCUUUCAAACCAGUAGGAACAUCCUAUUAUCCACUGGUCCAAAAAUCUUCAAGAUGAUGAAUAUUCAAGCAUGGGCGAGUUCAGUGAAGCUCAAAACUCCAAACUACUCUCUCUGGGUCAGAAUGAUGAAGAAAAACCCUAGAGGCAAAGGUGUUUGGAGCCAUACUUCAGAUGAAGCUCCAUGGAAAAUCUGCAAGGUCUUUGCUCAUGUUAAUGAGAGGCAACCAGAAGCUCAGUCUCUGUCCAACAAAUCCUACUUCAAGUUGGAAGAGAAGAAAGGUCAGAAGAGUCAGCACUGCAAGAAGGACUCACUAAGGAUAGGUGGUGGAUAUUCAAUCCACAUCUGAAACAAAUGUACUUUCAAUAAGCCCCCAUGGGCUGGAGAGUCAAGAAACCAGCUCAGGUUUCUUGAGAGUAAGCGGAAUCUUCUACUCUAAUAAAAGCACUGUGUGUGCUGGUCGUUUGUGUUGUCUUAGGGUGUUUAGAAACUAGCUUGUUGUUCUUGUCUAGUUUCUACACAUGAAAAGACUGUCCAAUUGUCAUUUUGUCUAAGUAUUUGUCUGCCUUAGAAUUUUGUUAAGAGUCUUAGUGCUAUUUUUAAUCUCUGUCUCUGAAAAAUUUUUUUUUUGCCAUUAUAUUAUUCUAAUCUUGUCUAGAAAAUUGUCUGGUUUAUUUGCUUCAAAAUUGUCAAGAAAAAGUUUAGAAAUUUCUUUUAAAAUGUUGUUUAGACCUGGUGUUAGGUUGUGAUGUUUCUAUGUUACCUGAAUGGUUAGUUAUGAUAAUUAGGAUUCAGUGUUGUUGCUUGAAUAGUUUCAAGAAAGUGUAUGUCCAUUGUGUUCUUUGUUAAGGUGUUUUUGGAGAUCAGACUUGGUGAGAAACCAUGUUCUGAUCUCUUUAUUGUCUUUUGAUUCCUGUCUUUAGUUGUGAUGACAGGUUAUUAAAUGUUAUGUGAUGACCUUUACACAUCAAGCACAAGCUCAAAGCUCACACCCUCUUGAAGACUGCUCAAACCGACUUUCUCAAAUUUACUUCAAUAUGGAGUCAACAAAAGCCACAGUCAUUCUCAGGGUUCCUAUCUGAUCCCCUGGUCGUGUAUGAACCAAGAAGACCAGGAGGACAGGAGGGGAUCCAAGGGCGAGCUUUACAAACAGGGCUAAACACACAAGGAAAAGGAGUUGGGUAAUGAAUCCAAAACUCAAAUCCACCAAGCUCAGAUGAGUAGUGUGUAUAUGGAGGUUCAAGGAACCAGCCCAGGUUCCUUGGCUGUAAGUUAAACCUCCUAAACCUGAACAAUAGCUUGUGUAAUGUGUCUGGUCGUUUUUUUUUGAGUGAUGGUGUAGAGUCCAAUGGAUCAUGAUAAGUUGCUAGAAGUUGCAUUGUGUCUUAAUCUUAUCAUCUGUGGUUGUUUUUGUUCCUAGAAGUGUCUGCCUAGGUUGUCAUGCAUCCAUGAUAUAUUGGUCUUGAUUGGGAGUCCUUUAAUUGUCAUGUCUGCCUUGAGAUUGUUAAGUAUCUAGGAGUGUUCCUAGAUGUGUGGUGUAUUCAUGCUGUUGUUAAAAUUGAUUAGGUUAUUAGCCUAGUCUUCUUUAGCAUCUGGAUUGUCUUAAAAAUGCAUAUUGGAUUGUAUUAAAGAGGCAUACAUAUUGUUCCUGAUGCAUUCAUAUUGUUUCUAAAGCUGUCAUAGGAGGUGAUAAGCUGUUUUGCAAUCUAUUUUUAAGCAGUGGCGACCAGUCUUGAGUUUAUUCAAUGAUCUGGUCCCAUGCUGAUGUUACUGAUCCCUAUCUGAGUUGUAAUGGUGUGUAGGACACAGGAUGUGACUAUUAGACCAGAAGCAGCAACAGGAAAAGGGAUAUAACCAUGUUAAUCAGAGCCUGCACAAGAUGCAUAUUCCUGAACAUGGAGAAAAGAGACCAUGUUGUUCAGAGCCUACACUUGGUGUAUAUUACUGACCAUGGAGAGACAUCUUAUGGUGGAAUCAGUUGGCUUAAGCGCAGGCGUAGGAGCUGUUGUGCUCCUGGUUCAAGAGACUCACAAGGAAGGCCAUCACCUAAGUCAUGAGGAGACUGGUGGUCCA